AAGCGAGAAAGCGUUGCCGCAGGCAACGACCCGAAGGGCGAAGGGCGAAGGGCGCAGCGCUGAGUCAUCCUUCCCCCACCACCA
rnacentral:sRNA from 2 species